rfam:Rhizobium yanglingense strain CCBAT 01603 genomic scaffold C605, whole genome shotgun sequence.
AUCGGCGUUGCUGGUGAGCGCUCCACGCGAGCGUUCGCGACUGCCGAAGUCGCUUAGCUGCUUUUGACCACGGAUGUACUGGCACUGGUGUGAAGAGCGAUGUCGAGAAGGUCGGUGCGGUUUCGCCCCGGCCUUUUUUAUU